GUCCAGCUGACGAAUCCAACAUGGGGGGAAACAUGCGUCCUGGAU
rnacentral:hammerhead_ribozyme from 1 species